CCCUAAGGUAGCAAGGAAGACUAUGUCACAAUGGGAGAGAAAGGCCCCCAGAACCUCCAAACGCCAUAAGAGGAAGCUGUAGAUUGUCUACUCUUUCUCAAGGGCAAAACCAUAUUUAACCCUUUUGCCAGCACCUCUGGUGUGUCUCUCUCUUCAAAGAAAUCUCCAACAGGCAUCCGGGGACUGAAGCUGAAGUGCUCCCGGCGGACACUGUGUACCACGUUUCGGCUCAGGUAAUAGAAGCUGGCUAUCCUCUGCUUAGGUGAAUGUCAAGCCUACCUGGUGCCAGAGAGUCAAAGGGCUCAAGAGAAUCUUCACUGAGGAUUGGAGUGUCUUCCAGUUGAUCAGGAAGAUGUGAAGGAUCAUCUAAACAGCUCACUGUGGGGUCAGGAACCAGGACUGAGACCUCUUGGUGUAAUGACUCCACAGAAGAAACAGAGCCAUUAUAGCCACACAUCUUUAGUUCUAGGGAAUAUCAGGAAAGAGCAAAAGUCAAAAUCAAUGCCUUCUAUUGGUUCAUUUAGCUACAGCAGGUAAUUAGUUUUUGAUAAAAGGAUAGUCAAUUCAUUCAACAUUUAUUGCUACUAGGGUGCCAGUUCUAUGUUGGGAACCUAUCUUAUCAAGACACUCUAAAUAAGCAGAGAUAUGCUGGUAAAAAUCAAUCCUAUGGCGAGCAAAGAGAGGGGAAAGGAGAUUGGGGUCUGAGAUAAAAACCCCACCAUGUUCUUCGAUGUUUUCCCUGAUGAGUGGGAACACAGAAAUAUUCUAUGAUUGUAUAAGGUGGUCACCCUUGUACUGAGAAUUAAAAGCAAGCUAAGCUUUUAGCUAUUUUGAGGGAAACAAUGAAAGAGGUUGUCACAUGUACCAAUGCCAACAACAAAAAGGAAACUGGGUAAACAAGCAAUGGUA